UACGUAGGGUGCGAGCGUUGUCCGGAAUUACUGGGCGUAAAGAGCUCGUAGGUGGUUUGUCGCGUUGUUCGUGAAAACCGGGGGCUUAACCCUCGGCGUGCGGGCGAUACGGGCAGACUUGAGUACUGCAGGGGAGACUGGAAUUCCUGGUGUAGCGGUGAAAUGCGCAGAUAUCAGGAGGAACACCGGUGGCGAAGGCGGUUCUCUGGGCAUUACCUGACGCUGGGGAGCGAAAGUGUGGGGAGCGAACAGG
rnacentral:rRNA from 1 species